GAACCGUACAAACGGUUAUUCGGGAAUCACUGGGGUUUAAAGGGUGCGCAGGCGGCUUGGCAAGUUGGGGGUGUGAAAUCCCUCGGGCUCAACCGAGGAACUGCGCUCAAAACUGCCAAGCUAGAGGGAGAUAGAGGUGAGCGGAACUUAGGGUGGAGCGGUGAAAUGCGUUGAUAUCCUAAGGAACACCAGUGGCGAAAGCGGCUCACUGGAUCUCUUCUGACGCUCAGGCACGAAAGCUAGGGUAGCGAACGGGAUUAGAUACCCCGGUAGUCCUAGCUGUAAACGAUGAGCACUGGGUUGGAGGGCCCUCCAUAGCCUUCCGGCCGAAGCGAAAGUGUUAAGUGCUCCACCUGGGGAGUAUGGUCGCAAGGCUG
rnacentral:rRNA from 1 species